UGUGGAAGCUUUGUUCUUUUGCUCUUUGCAAUAAAUCUUGCUACUGCUCACUCUUUGGGUCCACGCUGCUUUUAUGAGCUGUAACACUCACCGCGAAGAUCUGCAGCUUCACUCCUGAGCCCAGCAAGACCACGAGCCCACCGGGAGGAAUGAACAACUCCAGACACGCUACCUUAAGAGCUGUACCACUCACCGCGAAGGUCUGCAGCUUCACUCCUGAGCCAGCGAGACCACGAACCCACCAGAAGGAAGAAACUCCGAACACAUCUGAACAUCAGAAGGGACAGACUCCAGACACGCCACCUUAAGAGCUGUAACACUCACCGCGAGGGUCCACGGCUUCAUUCUUGAAGUCAGUGAGACCAAGAACCCACCAAUUCCGGACACAGUGCUGAGAAUCAUGCCUUGAAAUCUAGCAGCUCUGUUAAAAACUGAGCAAGGUGUACUUCGGGGUUGUGUUGAGAAGGUUGGUGUUCAGCUAAAUCAGGAGGGAAGGCCAAGGAAAAUCAGGCUUGGCACCUGUCAACAGACAAUGUGAUGGUCAUGAAGUCUCUGUCAGAGAGGAAAGAGGGAGUUAAUCUAUAAUGAAGAUCAACAGUGAAGAGGAAAGGGGUCUUCCCUGGAACGCUUCAGUCAUAUACGACAUUUUACACAACAAUAAUGGACCUGUGUAAGGAGGUAUGUGUGGGAGAAGAUUCCAGAAGGUCUUGAGACACUCCAGAUGAAGGUUGGUGUGGGGCUGUGCUGCUGGAGCACCAGAGAGUGAAAAGAGGUUAUCUCCCUCUGUGCCAGGCCAGAGUGCAGUGGUGCAAUCACGGCUCACUGUAGUCUCAACCUCCUGGGCUCAAGAGAUCCUCCCACUUCAGCCUCCCAAGCAGCUAAGACUACAGGCACGUGUCAUCAUAUCUGGC
rnacentral:lncRNA from 10 species